UUUGAGGGAGCCGAGCCACAGUGGUUGGUCUUCGGGGCGGUGUUGUCCGUAGGUGGCGAGGAGGGCUUGGGCUUC
rnacentral:antisense_RNA from 1 species